CCGACCAGUUGCCUGCCUCCCAGAAGGGAUGGGACAACGUUGGAAUGCAGCGCAGCCUAGAAACUGAUUGUAUGUAGCACUGCAUUCAUUAAGGACUUUACCGUUGCAGGUUACAUGAAAGAGCAUGAUCAUCUCAAAGCAGUAGGAUCUUUGUUCCAUCAGAUGUUUGAUCAGUUGCAACGACAGCACAAUGGUACAUUUAUUCAACACCUGUUGAAUUAUUCUGGAAUUAUCUCAAAUGAAAUCAACUGUUAUUGGUCACAUGCACAUGUUGAGCAGAUGUUAUUGCGGGUGUAGCAAUACUAAGCCUGACCAUAAAGCUUUAGAACGUAUUUAGUUUCUGUUUUUAAUCUACAUAAUUUUUGUGGUUAUGACAUAUCUUUCUCCAGACACUGUAUAAUGAUUUGUGCCGUUGAUGAGAACAACAUUGUGUCCUUGUUUUUGGCGCCCCCUCUGGUGAAAUACAUUGUUUACACUGUUUUGACGUUGUUUACGAGGUACAGCCGCUAGGGGCAUAAUUACAUCUCGUUCUUUACAAGGUAUAUUACCCAACGACUAUUUCACCACUGUGCUUUUAACAUGACCUGAUUGGGAAUGGAAUGUAAUUACACCAAAUGUUUUCGUUUCCCAUAGUUUUAGAAGCUUGCUAACUACUAUUGUGUCAUGUUCCAUAGAGAGUUGUCUGGAGACUUCUGCUGUCUAAUGCUUCUCUUAUUUGCUUCUCCACUUAGGACGUGGCCACAACUGUUAACAAUAGGCCACAUCUUUGCAUGUGUUUUAUACUAGUUAUACUAGUUAUAUUGGAUCAAUGUAAGAUCACUAUUUGUCACCUGUCUAUGUUUUCUGUCCCCUCCUCACCUCCUCUCCUUCAUUUCACUGAUCUAAAACAAUGAACAGGUAAAAGUGUAAUGAUGAGCUUCCACCAUACUGUUUUUACAGGUGGUACAGACAUACUUACUUCAUCGUUGCAAUUGUAUUACAGAAAUUAAGUCUAAAAAUGCAGCAAUUUCUUAUUUUGUGUGUGCCAAGUGGAGUCAUUUCAUGAGAACCCAGGAAUGUUGAAGUGUGUCACCUCCACCACAUGGUGGCGCUGUUGUCUAAGACUUCUCACAAUCUGUAGCCGUGAUUUUGGAGAAAAGAGCCCUGCUCUGAAACAGUGUUCUUUGACGUGUUCUCAUAGAUGAGCCCUCUGAAAACCCAGGUUGAUAAGAUAUUGUGAUGUUUUAUCACACCUAUUGACAUACAUCUUGUCACAGUUUACAGUGACAACAUGUGGAAACAUGUUCAGUUGGAGUCCUUCACUCCUUCAUGUCCAAACCUCUAUUGUUAACCAAAAACUUGUAACCUACUUACAUUGCCCUGCAAUAGAUUAGCAUCCUGUCCAAGGGGUGUACCUGUACAGCUGCCUCACACUACAGAAACAGGAGAUGGGCUCCAGCUCCUAUAAGCUGCUCCCCGGCUCCAACAAACCAAGGCUCUUUACUGACGUUGUCAUAACAUGAUCAGACAUUAGGAAUGUGUUAUGAGAACUACAGAAACGACUAUCAACAGCUGGAGUUACAUGAGCUCAGCUUGGUGGUUAGCUGAUGUGGUAUUUCUGAGAGGUAGUUACUGCUACUACUAGGUAGCUACUCGGUGCUCACACACCCGCUCCUAUGAAACAACAAUACAAUCUCAAGCUUCACCACCAGGGGGCAAUGUGGCACCAUGGAAUAGAUAUAACACCCACUCUGGCAGGGUAAGAUAUUGCCGUUGCUAUAAGGCCAGCGCAACUCUGUGAUCUGUGGAGUAAUGGCUCUAGAUUGGCAUUGUAUUUUUUCAAAAAGUCGCCCUGUUCCCUAUGUAGUGCACUACCAUGUGACCAGGGCCCAUAGGCCGGUGUAGGGAAUAGUGUGCCAUUUAGAACAACCCUAGGUGAUCAUUAUUAUCUUGUUAUUGCCCUUUGUUGAAGCCCAUCUCUCUUUGAAGAUCAAAGCAGUAGUCUGCCUCUGUGUGUACCGACCCACACAGAUAACACACAACCUACAAGUGAACUACAAUAAAGUCUACCACUCUGUACAUCUGUCACGGUGUCAGCUUCAUAUCAUUCCUGUCUAUAGAGACUAAUGCCAUUCUGCCAUAAUCUGCUCCCAGAUGUGUUUGUGCUGUAUAGACAGCUCCUAUGGUGAGAGGUAUAGAUGGAUGUGAGUGUGGUCGCACAGAUCAGUCAGGUUGGGUCUGUUGGAAGCAGGGUAUUUUUCUGUGGCACAGGAUCAGUCAGGUUGGGUCUGUUGGAAACAGGGUAUUUUUCUGUGGCACAUGAUCAGUCAGGUUGGGUCUGUUGGAAGCAGGGUAUUUUUCUGUGGCACAGGAUCAGUCAGGUUGGGUCUGUUGGAAGCAGGAUAUUUUCUGUGCCCUGCUGGAACACAUGGAAAAUAGGGAACUCUGCAUGGCUUACUGUUGGCCCGCAUCCAGCUUACUGUUGGCCCGCGUAUGCACUUCAGACAUAACGAGAGAGAGAGAAACCGAGAGAGAGACAGACAUAAUGAGAGAGAGAGAAAUGGACAUAA